UCCAAUUUUCGCGUGCAUAGAUCAUAGAAGGACCUGGUUCUUCUAUGUAUUUCUUAUACUAUUGUGGAGUAAUAAAUGAGGGAAGUAAAGAACACAAGUAUUUUUACGUGAAAAAACUCGGGUCGAAAGGUGAAAAAAUCAAGACCUACGUCUCAGUUAGAUUUUUUCCAACACUUCACUAAAUCACUAAGCCAAACCAACAUUUACAAAACUCUGAUCCUUUUAUGGCAACCAACCUCUAGCUGUUGCGACAACUUCAAGUUAACUCUAGUUUGUAUACAACACUCGUAGUACCUAGUACAAUUGCUUCUAGAAAAAACUGAAAGCUACAAUUUGAAAUGCCUACCACAAUGAAGCUAGAAUAAAAGAUAUACACUUGGAAUUUGUUCUUCUAUCCGGUUCAUGUAGCUUCAGGUUUGCACACUUGAAUCACACAUGAAUUGCUUGCAAAAUGCCUCGCUAUCUUGCUCUUAACUCACGUUUAA
rnacentral:lncRNA from 1 species